rnacentral:rRNA from 1 species
GAUGAACGCUGGCGGCGUGCCUAAUACAUGCAAGUCGAGCGAAUGGAUUAAGAGCUUGCUCUUAUGAAGUUAGCGGCGGACGGGUGAGUAACACGUGGGUAACCUGCCCAUAAGACUGGGAUAACUCCGGGAAACCGGGGCUAAUACCGGAUAACAUUUUGAACCGCAUGGUUCGAAAUUGAAAGGCGGCUUCGGCUGUCACUUAUGGAUGGACCCGCGUCGCAUUAGCUAGUUGGUGAGGUAACGGCUCACCAAGGCAACGAUGCGUAGCCGACCUGAGAGGGUGAGCGGCCACACUGGGACGGAGACACGGCCCAGACUCCUACGGGAGGCAGCAGUAGGGAAUCUUCCGCAAUGGACGAAAGUCUGACGGAGCAACGCCGCGUGAGUGAUGAAGGCUUUCGGGUCGUAAAACUCUGUUGUUAGGGAAGAACAAGUGCUAGUUGAAUAAGCUGACACCUUGACGGUACCUAACCAGAAAGCCACGGCUAACUACGUGCCAGCCGCCGCAGUAA